GCGCCAGACUCCUACGGGAGGCAGCAGUGGGGAAUAUUGCACAAUGGGCGCAAGCCUGAUGCAGCCAUGCCGCGUGUGUGAAGAGGGCCUUCGGGUUGUAAAUCACUUUCAGCGGGGAGGAAGGCAAUAAGGUUAAUAACCUUGUUGAUUGACGUUACCCGCAGAAGAAGCACCGGCUAACUCCGUGCCAGCAGCCGCGGUAAUACGGAGGGUGCAAGCGUUAAUCGGAAUUACUGGGCGUAAAGCGCACGCAGGCGGUCUGUCAAGUCGGAUGUGAAAUCCCCGGGCUCAACCUGGGAACUGCAUUCGAAACUGGCAGGCUGGAGUCUUUUAGAGGGGGGUAGAAUUCCAGGUGUAGCGGUGAAAUGCGUAGAGAUCUGGAGGAAUACUGGUGGCGAAGGCGGCCCCCUGGACAAAGACUGACGCUCAGGUGCGAAAGCGUGGGGAGCAAACAGGAUUAGAUACCCCGGUAGU
rnacentral:rRNA from 1 species